rnacentral:lncRNA from 1 species
UUCAGAUGUCUAUUGUGUUGCAAAUCUUACUUUAAAUUUUAUUUCCAUUGGCCAAUUGUGUGAUUUUGGAUAUCUAGUUCAAUUUUCUUUUAAUGCUUGUCAUGUAUAGGAUCCUCGAUCUCAGAAGCUGAUUAGGAUAGGCCGUAGACAAAGAGGGUUAUAUGUUCUGGACAAUCUGAGACCACCAUAUGUUGUAGCCUCUGGUGUUGACUUGUCCUCUUUUUCUUUGAAUUCAUCGUCUUCUAGUUUUUAUUUGUGGCAUUCUCGCCUUGGACAUGUUUCCGCUAGUCGUUUAAAAUUUUUAGUUUCUAAGGGUCAAUUGGG